rnacentral:rRNA from 1 species
UACGAAGGGGGCAAGCGUUGUUCGGAAUUACUGGGCGUAAAGGGCGCGUAGGCGGCUUAUCAAGUCAUGCGUGAAAUUCCCGGGCUCAACCUGGGGGCUGCGCUUGAUACUGAUUGGCUUGAAUGCGGGAGAGGAUAGUGGAAUUCCCAGUGUAGAGGUGAAAUUCGUAGAUAUUGGGAAGAACACCGGUGGCGAAGGCGGCUAUCUGGCCCGUAAUUGACGCUGAGGCGCGAAAGCGUGGGGAGCAAACAGG